GAAGAGUCCUUUCAUCAAAUUGGCUGGCCCGACGCUGACUCAGCUAAGGAAUGGCAAUGUAAGGGGGCGGUAACUUGUUGGCCAAUGUCUACAGGACUCUGAACAAAAAUGAAUCCUCAUACAGGUGACACACUCAUGAGUGCACAACAGUGGAUGCUGAGCCUUGAGAGGCAAGUGGUGUGUGAGGGGCGAAGUUCUGCCACAUCAAUGUGAGUGCAACUGCAGAUGUCUUUUCAAGUUUCUACAUUUUUAAUUUUGCAUACCAAGAAGAAGCCUCAUUAACCCUUGAAUUUCUACAAAGACUCAGAAUGGCAAGAAGUCUCAUUUAGUGACAAAUUUGGAAUGAAUUGGCAGACUGUGAGUUGGAGCAGACACAGAAGAGAAGAGCACACUGGUGAGUAACCUU